rnacentral:rRNA from 1 species
GGGAAACUCACCAGGUCCAGACACAAUGAGGAUUGACAGAUUGAGAGCUCUUUCUUGAUUUUGUGGGUGGUGGUGCAUGGCCGUUCUUAGUUGGUGGAGUGAUUUGUCUGCUUAAUUGCGAUAACGAACGAGACCUUAACCUGCUAAAUAGCCCGUAUUGCUUUGGCAGUACGCCGGCUUCUUAGAGGGACUAUCGGCUCAAGCCGAUGGAAGUUUGAGGCAAUAA